rnacentral:rRNA from 1 species
AUUGAACGCUGGCGGCAGCCCUAACACAUGCAAUACGGACGUGCGGCGGACGGGUGAGGACUGUUUGCGAAAAUGCCUGAUGGAGGGGGAUAACUCCUGGAAACGGUAGCUAAUACCGCAUACCAUCGGGUGUGUCCAGAUGGGAUUAGCUAGUAGGUGGGGUAAAGGCUCACCUAGGCGACGAUCCCGAGCUGGUCUGCGAGGAGGACCAGCCACACUGAAAGUUGGACACGGACCAGAAUCCGACGGGAGUCAGCAGUGGGGAAUAUGGCACACGGGGCGCAAGCCUGAUGCAGCCAGGCCGCGUGUAUGAAGAAGGCCUUCGGUUUGUAAAGUACUUUCAGCGGGGAGGCGUUACCCGCAUAAGAAACACCGGCUAACUCCGUGCCAGCAGCCGCGGUAAUAC